rnacentral:rRNA from 1 species
AGAACCUUACCUGCCCUUGACAUCCGGAUGACCGGUGGGUAAUGCCGCCCUCUCUUCGGAGCAUCCGAGACAGGUGGUGCAUGGUUGUCGUCAGCUCGUGUCGUGAGAUGUUGGGUUAAGUCCCGCAACGAGCGCAACCCUUAUCUUUAGUAGCCAGCAUUUCAGGUGGGCACUCUAGAGAGACUGCCAGGGAUAACCUGGAGGAAGGUGGGGAUGACGUCAAAUCAUCAUGCCCCUUAUGGGCAGGGCUACACACGUGCUACAAUGGCGUAAACAAAGGGAAGCGAACCCGCGAGGGGAAGCGAAUCUCAAAAAUAACGUCUCAGUUCGGAUUGUAGUCUGCAACUCGACUACAUGAAGCUGGAAUCGCUAGUAAUCGCGAAUCAGAAUGUCGCGGUGAAUACGUUCCCGGGUCUUGUACACACC